ensembl:rRNA 5S_rRNA 5S ribosomal RNA
UACCACGGCCAUGCCACCCUGAGCAUGCCCGAUCUCGACUGAUCUCGGAAGCUAAGCAGGGUCGGGCCUGGUUAGUACUUGGAUGGGUGACCGCCUGGGAAUACCAGGUGCUGUAAGGG